CGGCAGAAAACAAAUAGCGGAGGAGACUGAGGCAGAGAUGGAUAACACUUAACAACACCACAUCAAUUUCCAGGUGUACUUGUACGACAAACUUCAGAUAUUUCGACAUCUUCUGUGGUUGCAUCAAAUGCUGUGAUUGCUCGACACCUUGCCAAACUCGAGGAAGGCAUCAAGGAACUGCAAUUAAACCAAAAAGAAAUAUUGGAAAGACUACGCUCUGGAGCAACUGCGACGGCUGUAGCUGUUGGUUAUCAAGCCCUGUCCCUGCCAGAAGGAGUCAAUUUACCAUGCACCCAGAUCGAAGAGAUUAAAAAGAUUGAUGUCUGGCUAACAGUGGACGAAAAUUACAUGCUACUUGUUAACCACUUGAGCUAUGUAGGCGGUAACAAAACAUCAGCAAUAUUAAGGAGGAUUCUUGAAAAACUGUUUUCAAACAAACUUGCGGAAAUCUGUAAUUGGUCAGGCAAAAAUGGAAAACAUAAGCUACAAGAUCACCUUUUAAUUAAAGUUGUUACUGAAGCUCUCCGUCGGCACAAAGUCGCCGAAACGGCUACAGAAAACGAGAUAAAGACCGUGGUUAGCAACUGGUUCCGCUUCUCCAAAGAUAGAGAUGGAGGUCGAGAAAGCAGACGCAGGACAAUUGAGCCAACUUCUAUCCAGCAAUAAUCAACGUUCCUAGACCUAUCAAUAUGUUCAAAUAUUGGAAAGCUACGGAGUUCAGAGCUUUCAUUUUGUAUUUAGGCCCUGUUGUUUUACGUGGUGUGUUAAGCAAAACACUGUACGCGCAUUUUCUUUUAUUGCACUGUGCAAUUUACAUAUUAUGCACUGCAAAUAUUUGUAAACAUGAUGAAUGGCGACAGUACGCCGGCGACUUGCUACAUUGUUUUGUUCUAUACAUGUCAGAUUUGUACAGCAACGAAUUUCUUGUAUAUAACGUCCACAAUCUGCUCCAUUUGGCAGAUGACGCAUAUAACUUUGGCCAUCUUGAUAACUUUUCGGCAUUUCCCUUUGAGAAUUUUAUGUCUAAAAUAAAGAACAUGGUUCGUGGUCAUAACAUGCCAUUAGAGCAGGUUGCUAAAAGAAUGGGUGAGAAUUGUAACUCUGAAAAAAAGAAUAUUACUAAAAGAAAACCUAUUAAAGAACAAAAUGGACAGAUAAGAAAAAUACAUUACAAUGAUUACGUUAUUGGUACCUCACAAAGAGA